UUAAGCGACUAAGCGUACACGGUGGAUGCCCUGGCAGUCAGAGGCGAUGAAGGACGUGCUAAUCUGCGAUAAGCGCCGGUAAGGUGAUAUGAACCGUUAUAACCGGCGAUUUCCGAAUGGGGAAACCCAGUGUGACUCGUCACACUAUCAUUAACUGAAUCCAUAGGUUAAUGAGGCGAACCGGGGGAACUGAAACAUCUAAGUACCCCGAGGAAAAGAAAUCAACCGAGAUUCCCCCAGUAGCGGCGAGCGAACGGGGAGGAGCCCAGAGCCUGAAUCAGCAUGUGUGUUAGUGGAAGCGUCUGGAAAGGCGCGCGAUACAGGGUGACAGCCCCGUACACAAAAGCGCAUGUGCUGUGAGCUCGAUGAGUAGGGCGGGACACGUGGUAUCCUGUCUGAAUAUGGGGGGACCAUCCUCCAAGGCUAAAUACUCCUGACUGACCGAUAGUGAACCAGUACCGUGAGGGAAAGGCGAAAAGAACCCCGGCGAGGGGAGUGAAAAAGAACCUGAAACCGUGUACGUACAAGCAGUGGGAGCACCCUUUUGGGUGUGACUGCGUACCUUUUGUAUAAUGGGUCAGCGACUUAUAUUCUGUAGCAAGGUUAACCGAAUAGGGGAGCCGGAGGGAAACCGAGUCUUAACCGGGCGUUAAGUUGCAGGGUAUAGACCCGAAACCCGGUGAUCUAGCCAUGGGCAGGUUGAAGGUUGGGUAACACUAACUGGAGGACCGAACCGACUAAUGUUGAAAAAUUAGCGGAUGACCUGUGGCUGGGGGUGAAAGGCCAAUCAAACCGGGAGAUAGCUGGUUCUCCCCGAAAGCUAUUUAGGUAGCGCCUCGUGAAUUCAUCUCCGGGGGUAGAGCACUGUUUCGGCUAGGGGGCCAUCCCGGCUUACCAACCCGAUGCAAACUGCGAAUACCGGAGAAUGUUAUCACGGGAGACACACGGCGGGUGCUAACGUCCGUCGUGAAGAGGGAAACAACCCAGACCGCCAGCUAAGGUCCCAAAGUCAUGGUUAAGUGGGAAACGAUGUGGGAAGGCCCAGACAGCCAGGAUGUUGGCUUAGAAGCAGCCAUCAUUUAAAGAAAGCGUAAUAGCUCACUGGUCGAGUCGGCCUGCGCGGAAGAUGUAACGGGGCUAAACCAUGCACCGAAGCUGCGGCAGCGACACUAGGUGUUGUUGGGUAGGGGAGCGUUCUGUAAGCCUGCGAAGGUGGCCUGUGAGGGUUGCUGGAGGUAUCAGAAGUGCGAAUGCUGACAUAAGUAACGAUAAAGCGGGUGAAAAGCCCGCUCGCCGGAAGACCAAGGGUUCCUGUCCAACGUUAAUCGGGGCAGGGUGAGUCGACCCCUAAGGCGAGGCCGAAAGGCGUAGUCGAUGGGAAACGGGUUAAUAUUCCCGUACUUGGUGUUACUGCGAAGGGGGGACGGAGAAGGCUAUGUUGGCCGGGCGACGGUUGUCCCGGUUUAAGCGUGUAGGUGUGUGUUCCAGGUAAAUCCGGUUCACUUUAACACUGAGGCGUGAUGACGAGGCACUACGGUGCUGAAGCAACAAAUGCCCUGCUUCCAGGAAAAGCCUCUAAGCAUCAGGUAACAUCAAAUCGUACCCCAAACCGACACAGGUGGUCAGGUAGAGAAUACCAAGGCGCUUGAGAGAACUCGGGUGAAGGAACUAGGCAAAAUGGUGCCGUAACUUCGGGAGAAGGCACGCUGACACGUAGGUGAAGUGAUUUACUCAUGGAGCUGAAGUCAGUCGAAGAUACCAGCUGGCUGCAACUGUUUAUUAAAAACACAGCACUGUGCAAACACGAAAGUGGACGUAUACGGUGUGACGCCUGCCCGGUGCCGGAAGGUUAAUUGAUGGGGUCAGCGCAAGCGAAGCUCCUGAUCGAAGCCCCGGUAAACGGCGGCCGUAACUAUAACGGUCCUAAGGUAGCGAAAUUCCUUGUCGGGUAAGUUCCGACCUGCACGAAUGGCGUAAUGAUGGCCAGGCUGUCUCCACCCGAGACUCAGUGAAAUUGAACUCGCUGUGAAGAUGCAGUGUACCCGCGGCAAGACGGAAAGACCCCGUGAACCUUUACUAUAGCUUGACACUGAACAUUGAGCCUUGAUGUGUAGGAUAGGUGGGAGGCUUUGAAGUGUGGACGCCAGUCUGCAUGGAGCCGACCUUGAAAUACCACCCUUUAAUGUUUGAUGUUCUAACGUGGACCCGUGAUCCGGGUUGCGGACAGUGUCUGGUGGGUAGUUUGACUGGGGCGGUCUCCUCCUAAAGAGUAACGGAGGAGCACGAAGGUUGGCUAAUCCUGGUCGGACAUCAGGAGGUUAGUGCAAUGGCAUAAGCCAGCUUGACUGCGAGCGUGACGGCGCGAGCAGGUGCGAAAGCAGGUCAUAGUGAUCCGGUGGUUCUGAAUGGAAGGGCCAUCGCUCAACGGAUAAAAGGUACUCCGGGGAUAACAGGCUGAUACCGCCCAAGAGUUCAUAUCGACGGCGGUGUUUGGCACCUCGAUGUCGGCUCAUCACAUCCUGGGGCUGAAGUAGGUCCCAAGGGUAUGGCUGUUCGCCAUUUAAAGUGGUACGCGAGCUGGGUUUAGAACGUCGUGAGACAGUUCGGUCCCUAUCUGCCGUGGGCGCUGGAGAACUGAGGGGGGCUGCUCCUAGUACGAGAGGACCGGAGUGGACGCAUCACUGGUGUUCGGGUUGUCAUGCCAAUGGCACUGCCCGGUAGCUAAAUGCGGAAGAGAUAAGUGCUGAAAGCAUCUAAGCACGAAACUUGCCCCGAGAUGAGUUCUCCCUGAGACUUAAAGUCUCCUGAAGGAACGUUGAAGACGACGACGUUGAUAGGCCGGGUGUGUAAGCGCAGCGAUGCGUUGAGCUAACCGGUACUAAUGAACCGUGAGGCUUAACCUU
rnacentral:rRNA from 1 species